AUGGAUCAAGAGCUGAUCGAGCACCUUGAGGCCAAAGUGAGUGCUGACAGUGCGAGAUCUCACCCUCUCAUCGAUUUGUUCAUACCAACCAUCGACAAAGAGCAUGGCAUAUGCUACACCCAUCCUGAGAAACUUCCAGGUAUCACACUGAGUGGCCUAAGCAAGCAUUUCUUCCAGUGCAACUCCAGGGCAUUCAAAAGGGGCACGUGGACGCGUCGCAAGAUACAGUUGGAGUGCGGCAUGCACGCGGUGUGGCACAAGACCGGCAAUACCUUGCCGGUGAUGGUCAACGGCUGGCAGACGGGCAGCAAAAAGGUUCUGGUGCUGCACACCAACAAGAACUUCGACCAGCAGAGGACCAACUGGGUGAUGCACCAGUACCACCUCGGGGACCUGGAGCAAGAGAAGGAGCGGGAGCUGGUCCUCUGCAAGAUUUUCUACCAGUCAAACACUAGGGCAGGAGUAAAAAGAUUAUAA
rnacentral:rRNA from 1 species